rnacentral:hammerhead_ribozyme from 1 species
AUCUAGAUGACGAGUCCCAAAAAGGACGAGACGCGCGUCCUGGAU